CUUUGCUCCUGAUGACUUCAUGGGCUGGAAAAAUCUGAUUUGGGUCUUUAAAUCCCAGGGUCUCCAGUCCGCUGAAAUCUCCCCAGCCCCCCAGCUCUCUGCUUCUGCAGUCUCUGCCCCAGGCUGAGGGCAUCCGGGCGGCCCUGGCUACACCAAGGCCCCGUCUCAGCUCUGCAGUGAGCGCCUGACGGAGGAGCUGAGUGGUGGUGGGGCCCGGGCCCGUGGGGGACGAGGAGGUCAGAGGAGCAAAAGGGACAAAUAGAACAAGGGAGAGAAGCAACUUUGAUGCCCCUCCCCACCCGCCCCGGAGGAGGAGGUCCCAGAGAACAGGCCGCCCACCUCGAGGGCUGACCACCCUCGUCUUUCACACUGCUACGGUGCUCGUUGUUCGGAUCCGUGAGUCGACCAGAACCCCAGCAUCACUACCACACUGCAAUUUGCUUCUGCCUCAAUGAUGAACAGAUUAGCACAGCGCACCAUCGAGCCACAGCCAGGAAGUGGCCUGAAACCUCAUGCAGGACCUGAGCAACCCAAGCAGGGUCCCGCCGUCCCUCACUUCCGGAUGACACAGAGGGAGAUGAAGUUGAAGCAGACAGCCCACGAGCCUGUGGUCAUGUCAUCCUCAGAUGAUAAAGAUUGGGAAGCCAAGGAAAAUACAUCUACAGUUUUGCCAAGAUCUUUCUCUGUUUCUACAAAAUAAUCUCACUGAUUAACUCCAGAAGUAGAGACAAUUAGAGUGAGACAAAAGACAUGAGCUUCUUAUCUCCAAGAACAUAAACAGUACAUGUCACAGGUGACCUCACUCAGGGGUGGCAGCAAGGUGAAGACAUAAUGGCACGUAAAGCCUGCACACCUCUGUUGACACAGUGACUGGUGGCCCAGCCUGUGCCACCAUUGGCUGUUCAGCAGCCAGGACACGAGGGUGUGGUCUCCUAAG
ensembl:lncRNA